rnacentral:rRNA from 1 species
UACAGAGGUCUCAAGCGUUGUUCGGAUUCAUUGGGCGUAAAGGGCGCGUAGGCGGCGCGGUAAGUCGAGUGUGAAAUCUCGGAGCUUAACUCCGAAACUGCAUUCGAUACUGCCGUGCUUGAGGACUGGAGAGGAGACUGGAAUUUACGGUGUAGCGGUGAAAUGCGUAGAUAUCGUAAGGAAGACCAGUGGCGAAGGCGGGUCUCUGGACAGUUCCUGACGCUGAGGCACGAAGGUCAGGGGAGCAAACGGG